rnacentral:rRNA from 1 species
GCAGUCGCCGCGGUAAUACGUAGGUCCCGAGCGUUGUCCGGAUUUAUUGGGCGUAAAGCGAGCGCAGGCGGUUAGAUAAGUCUGAAGUUAAAGGCUGUGGCUUAACCAUAGUACGCUUUGGAAACUGUUUAACUUGAGUGCAAGAGGGGAGAGUGGAAUUCCAUGUGUAGCGGUGAAAUGCGUAGAUAUAUGGAGGAACACCGGUGGCGAAAGCGGCUCUCUGGCUUGUAACUGACGCUGAGGCUCGAAAGCGUGGGGAGCAAACAGGAUUAGAGACCCCCGUAGUCCCUGUCUCUUAUACA